CGCCGCCCAGAGCUGGAAGCGAGAGGCGCAGGCACUGACUCAGGCGCACGUCUUCCUUGUCAGGCUGGAUUGGCUGAGCCCCAGCUGGCCCGGCCCGAUUGGCUGGGCACGGGGCCGAGUCCCGAUUGGCUGCAGAGGCUGACCCCACCUUUCCCCGCCCUGGUUUAGGCUACCUGUGCAACGUAGGGGGCGAAGCACUCCCGGAAGGACGAGCCACGGGAAUGACAGGCUUGUGGCUUUACCGGGAGAUGGGAGGCCAUACAAAAACGGGCAGCAGGCCAGAUUUGGACCACCAGCUGUGUUCUGCCAUCCCUGAUCUAAUCUAACAUAAACGUCCCGACUUUCCCAAAGAAGUAUCCCUGAGGACACAGGAGCACGAACAAGUGCCCCAUGAUGGCACACAGCUUUACCCGGCAAAUCCUGCCAGCUUCCAAGUCCCGGGAUGCUGACCUGCACCAGCACGUGGGGCAGCGUUACCUCCCAACAGUGUGGAGAAGAGCACAUGUCACCACUGGGCG